GACGUUGUGGCGGAGUGGUUAACGCGGUAGUCUGCUAAACUAUUGUCCUCUGGGCGCCCGAGUUCGAAUCUCGGCAACGUCG